CAGCAGCCGCGGGAAUACGGAGGGGGCUAGCGUUGUUCGGAAUUACUGGGCGUAAAGCGCACGUAGGCGGCUUGGUAAGUUAGAGGUGAAAGCCUGGAGCUCAACUCCAGAAUUGCCUUUAAGACUGCCGAGCUAGUAGGUGAGAGAGGUAAGUGGAAUUCCGAGUGUAGAGGUGAAAUUCGUAGAUAUUCGGAAGAACACCAGUGGCGAAGGCGGCUUACUGGCUCAUUCUAGACGCUGAGGUGCGAAAGCGUGGGGAGCAAACAGGAUUAGAGACCCGAGUAGUCCCUGUCUCUUAUAC
rnacentral:rRNA from 1 species